UGGUCUGUAGCCAAGCGGUAAGGCAGCGGGUUUUGGUCCCGCCAUCCCAGGUUCGAAUCCUAGCAGACCAG